UACGUAGGGUGCAAGCGUUGUCCGGAAUUACUGGGCGUAAAGGGCUCGUAGGUGGCCAACUAAGUCAGACGUGAAAUCCCUCGGCUUAACCGGGGAACUGCGUCUGAUACUGGAUGGCUUGAGUUUGGGAGAGGGAUGCGGAAUUCCAGGUGUAGCGGUGAAAUGCGUAGAUAUCUGGAGGAACACCGGUGGCGAAGGCGGCAUCCUGGACCAACACUGACACUGAUGAGCGAAAGCCAGGGGAGCAAACGGG
rnacentral:rRNA from 1 species